AGGACGAACGCUGGCGGCGUGCCUAAUACAUGCAAGUCGAACGCACUGACGUCGACAGAAGGUGCUUGCACUGGAAGUUGAUUGACGUGAGUGGCGGACGGGUGAGUAACACGUGGGCAACCUGCCCUUAAGCGGGGGAUAACAUUUGGAAACAGAUGCUAAUACCGCAUAAAAGUUGAGAUCACAUGGUCUUAAUUUGAAAGACGGCCUUUGGCUGUCACUUAAGGAUGGACCCGCGGCGUGUUAGCUAGUUGGUGAGAUAAUAGCCCACCAAGGCGAUGAUACGUAGCCGACCUGAGAGGGUAAUCGGCCACAUUGGGACUGAGACACGGCCCAAACUCCUACGGGAGGCAGCAGUAGGGAAUCUUCCACAAUGGACGAAAGUCUGAUGGAGCAACGCCGCGUGAGUGAAGAAGGUUUUCGGAUCGUAAAACUCUGUUGUUGGAGAAGAACAGGGACUAGAGUAACUGUUAGUCCUUUGACGGUAUCCAACCAGAAAGCCACGGCUAACUACGUGCCAGCAGCCGCGGUAAUACGUAGGUGGCAAGCGUUGUCCGGAUUUAUUGGGCGUAAAGCGAGCGCAGGCGGUUUCUUAAGUCUGAUGUGAAAGCCUUCGGCUUAACCGAAGAAGUGCAUCAGAUACUGGGAAACUUGAGUGCAGAAGAGGAAAGUGGAACUCCAUGUGUAGCGGUGAAAUGCGUAGAUAUAUGGAAGAACACCAGUGGCGAAGGCGGCUUUCUGGUCUGUAACUGACGCUGAGGCUCGAAAGUAUGGGGAGCGAACAGGAUUAGAUACCCUGGUAGUCCAUACCGUAAACGAUGAAUGCUAAGUGUUGGAGGGUUUCCGCCCUUCAGUGCUGCAGCUAACGCAUUAAGCAUUCCGCCUGGGGAGUACGACCGCAAGGUUGAAACUCAAAGGAAUUGACGGGGGCCCGCACAAGCGGUAGAGCAUGUGGUUUAAUUCGAAGCUACGCGAAGAACCUUACCAGGUCUUGACAUCUAGCGCCAAUCCUAGAGAUAGGACGUUCCCUUCGGGGACGCUAAGACAGGUGGUGCAUGGUUGUCGUCAGCUCGUGUCGUGAGAUGUUGGGUUAAGUCCCGCAACGAGCGCAACCCUUAUGAUUAGUUGCCAGCAUUUAGUUGGGCACUCUAAUCAGACUGCCGGUGACAAACCGGAGGAAGGGGGGGA
rnacentral:rRNA from 1 species